CUUAACCUCUCUGGUUCAGCUUCUUCAUCUGCAAAAUGGAGGGGAUAAUAGUACUCAUCGUUGUAGGUUUGUUGGGAAAAAUACCAGUUACUAUAUGCAAAGUGCUCAGCAGGAUGCUUGGCAAAGGGGAAAUGCUGUAUAAGUGUUUGCUGCUGUUUAUCAGUACUCUCUGAAUGGGUCAGGCUGCUCUCCUGGCAAGUGCCUGGUGGGCAGUGCGAGAGUUUGUCUCUCAGACCUGCAAUUCAGCGUUGCCUUUUAAUUGUCCCCACUGCAGCCAGUGCUCUGCUCCUUUGGAGGUGAUGAGCAGCCCAGCAGAGAAAGCAGCAGCCUGGGGAUGCCACCAGACCUGGUUCCAUGUCUGAGAGUCCUCCCCGAAAUACGCAAACCAUUGAUUAGACCAAGAGCUUUCUGCCUCAUUCAGAUGUUAAUGGUAUCACAUCUCAAUCAUAAGUUCUUUAUGCUGCUUUGAUUUUGCUCCUUCCUCUUGGCAGGAGGACAACUCUAAAUCCCAUUUCACAGGUGAGGAAACUGAGGCCCAGAUUGGACACCACUGUCUGAGCCUGGAGUAGAGCCCUCAUCUCUUCUGGUCACUCAAGGUCCCUGUCCUUCUGCAUUGGGGUUGGGGAGCAAGACUCCCUAAAACGAUGCUCCCUCUGCUCUGCUGGGGCCGAUCCGUCUUCCUCAGUGGGUGGGGCUGCAGUAAGGGCUGGAUGACACAUCAGGGUCUAGUGGGUGUGGUGCCCCCAGGCCUAGAGAUGGGUCCUGGGUGCUCCAACCCUGACAUUUGAGGUUCUGGGUCCAGGCCACUGAGCCCGCUGGCCUUUGAGGAUCCUUGCAACCAUCAGGCCCCGUGGGACCCAGCCACCCACAUGGCCAGAAAGGAAGGGUCAGGCUGCCUUGUACAGGGCUGUGAUAACCACGGGCCCCGUUCCAGGGAGGAUCGUGUGGGAUUCUCUGUGCUCCGAAGGAGUCCUGCGUUUCGGCGGACACCUCAUUAUCCCUGUCCCAGCCGGCUGUGUCCCAGCGCCUCUGUAAUCGCACGGGCCCACGCCCAACAGCCAGCCCAGGGCCAGGAAAUCACUCUCCUCCCUCCUCCGCCUUCCGCCCGCGGCUGGCCGAGCGCGGCGCCUGCAGCCACUCACUGUGGACCUCCUGCCU
rnacentral:lncRNA from 1 species